AUACGGAGGGGGCUAGCGUUGUUCGGAAUUACCGGGCGUAAAGCGUACGUAGGCGGACUGAUCAGUUGGGGGUGAAAUCCCAGGGCUUAACCCUGGAACUGCCUUCAAUACUGUCAGUCUUGAGUUUGGGAGAGGUGAGUGGAAUUCCUAGUGUAGAGGUGAAAUUCAUAGAUAUUAGGAGGAACACCAGUGGCGAAGGCGGCUCACUGGCCCAUUACUGACGCUGAGGUACGAAAGCGUGGGGAGCAAACAGGAUUAGAUACCCCAGUAGUCC
rnacentral:rRNA from 1 species